rnacentral:rRNA from 1 species
GACAGAGGGUGCAAACGUUGCUCGGAUUUACUGGGCGUAAAGCGCAAGUAGGCGGUCUUGUAAGUCGGGUGUGAAAACCCGGGGCUCAACCCCGGCAGUGCACACGAUACUGCGAGACUGGGGUACUGAAGAGGAGAGCGGAAUUCUCGGUGUAGAGGUGAAAUUCGUAGAUAUCGGGAGGAACACCAGUGGCGAAGGCGGCUACUCUGG